UCCUACGGGAGGCAGCAGUGGGGAAUAUUGGACAAUGGGGGCAACCCUGAUCCAGCCAUGCCGCGUGUGUGAAGAAGGCCCUCGGGUUGUAAAGCACUUUCAGCGAGGAAGAACGCCUAGCGGUUAAUACCCGCUAGGAAAGACAUCACUCGCAGAAGAAGCACCGGCUAACUCCGUGCCAGCAGCCGCGGUAAUACGGAGGGUGCAAGCGUUAAUCGGAAUUACUGGGCGUAAAGCGCGCGUAGGUGGCUUGAUAAGCCGGUUGUGAAAGCCCCGGGCUCAACCUGGGAACGGCAUCCGGAACUGUCAAGCUAGAGUGCAGGAGGGGAAGGUAGAAUUCCCGGUGUAGCGGUGAAAUGCGUAGAGAUCGGGAGGAAUACCAGUGGCGAAGGCGGCCUUCUGGACUGACACUGACACUGAGGUGCGAAAGCGUGGGUAGCAAACAGGAUUAGAUACCCUGGUAGUCCACGCCGUAAACGAUGUCGACCAGCCGUUGGGUGCCUAGCGCACUUUGUGGCGAAGUUAACGCGAUAAGUCGACCGCCUGGGGAGUACGGCCGCAAGGUUAAAACUCAAAUGAAUUGACGGGGGCCCGCACAAGCGGUGGAGCAUGUGGUUUAAUUCGAUGCAACGCGAAGAACCUUACCUACUCUUGACAUCCUGCGAAUUUGGUAGAGAUACCUUAGUGCCUUCGGGAACGCAGAGACAGGUGCUGCAUGGCUGUCGUCAGCUCGUGUUGUGAAAUGUUGGGUUAAGUCCCGUAACGAGCGCAACCCUUGUCCUUAUUUGCCAGCGCGUAAUGGCGGGAACUCUAAGGAGACUGCCGGUGACAAACCGGAGGAAGGUGGGGGACGACGUCAAGUCAUCAUGGCCCUUACGAAGUAA
rnacentral:rRNA from 1 species